rnacentral:rRNA from 1 species
UAAGGUCGCACAUCCUCAUGGUAGUGAUACACAUCCGAAUAUACGAAGCCCACUCACGAAAGUAACCUUAUAAAUCUGACUCCACGAAAGCUAUGGCACAAACUGGGAUUAGAUACCCCACUAUGCUUAGCUAUAAACCUUAAUAGUUCUACACAUAACUAUUCGCCAGGGUACUACGAGCACCAGCUUAAAACCCAAAGGACUUGGCGGUGCUUAAGACCCAUCUAGAGGAGCCUGUCCUAUAACUGAUACUCCCCGUUAAACCUUACCCUCCCUUGUUCAAUCCGUUUAUAUACCGCCGUCGUCAGCUUACCCCUUAAGAGCCAAACAGUAAGCAAUUCCAGUACAACUCCAAACGUCAGGUCGAGGUGUAGCGUACGAGAGGGAAAGAGAUGGGCUACAUUCUCUACCACUAGCAGUCCGAAUAACGCAUUGAAACAUGCGUCUUGAAGAUGGAUUUAGAAGUAAGUAGAAAACAGAGAGUUCCACUGAAACUGGCCCUAAAGCGCGCACACACCGCCCGUCACUC